rnacentral:rRNA from 1 species
GAUGAACGCUGGCGGCGUGCCUAAUACAUGCAAGUCGAGCGAACGGACGAGAAGCUUGCUUCUCUGAUGUUAGCGGCGGACGGGUGAGUAACACGUGGAUAACCUACCUAUAAGACUGGGAUAACCUCGGGAAACCGGAGCUAAUACCGGAUAAUAUUUUGAACCGCAUGGUUCAAAAGUGAAAGACGGUCUUGCUGUCACUUAUAGAUGGAUCCGCGCUGCAUUAGCUAGUUGGUAAGGUAACGGCUUACCAAGGCAACGAUGCAUAGCCGACCUGAGAGGGUGAUCGGCCACACGGGAACUGGGACACGGUCCAGACUCCUACGGGAGGCAGCAGUAGGGAAUGUUCCGCAAUGGGGGAAAGCCUGACGGAGCAACGCCGCGUGAGUGAUGAAGGUCUUCGGAUCGUAAAACUCUGUUAUUAGGGAAGAACAUAUGUGUAAGUAACUGUGCACAGCUUGACGGUACCUAAUCAGAAAGCCACGGCUAACUACGUG